GUGCUUGCUUUAGCAGCACAUGUACUGAAAUUGGAACGAUACAGAGAAGAUUAGCAUGGCCCUUGCACAAGGAUGGCAUGCAAAUUCAUGAAGUAUUCCAUAUUUUC
rnacentral:snRNA from 1 species